GGACUACAAGGGUUUCUAAUCCUGUUUGCUCCCCACGCUUUCGCGCCUCAGCGUCAGUACCGGACCAGGUCGCCGCCUUCGCCACCGGUGUUCUUCCCAAUAUCUACGAAUUUCACCUCUACACUGGGAAUUCCACGACCCUCUUCCGAACUCAAGACAACAUGUAUCAAGCGCAGCCCCCAGGUUGAGCCCGGGAAUUUCACGCCUGACUGUGUCAUCCGCCUACGCGCCCUUUACGCCCAGUCAUUCCGAGCAACGCUAGCCCCCUUCGUAUUACCGCGGCGGCUGGCAC
rnacentral:rRNA from 1 species